rnacentral:rRNA from 1 species
GACGAACGCUGGCGGCGUGGAUUAGGCAUGCAAGUCGAACGGUAUCAUCCUUUCGGGGGUGAGAGAGUGGCGAACUGGUGAGUAACACGUAGGUUAUCUACCCUCAAGACGGGGACAACCCAGGGAAACUUGGGCUAAUACCGGAUGUGAGCAACUUUUAGUUGUUUGAAAGGUGGCGUAAGCUGUCGCUUGGGGAUGAGCCUGCGUCCUAUUAGUUAGUUGGUGAGGUAACGGCUCACCUAGGCAAUGAUAGGUAGGCGGCCUUAACGGGUGGUCGCCCACACUGGGAUUGAGAUACGGCCCAGACUCCUACGGGAGGCAGCAGUGGGAAUUUUGGACAAUGGGGGAAACCCUGAUCCAGCAACGCCGCGUGAAGGACGAAGGCCUUAGGGUUGUAAAGCUACUGUUUUAGGGGACGAAUGUCGUGGGGAGUAAUAUGACCUACGAAUGACGGUACCCUAAGAGGAAGCCCCGGCUAACUAACGUGCCUAGGCAGCCGCGGUAAGACGUAGCGUG